rnacentral:rRNA from 1 species
GACGAACCGUGCGAACGUUGUUCGGAAUCACUGGGCUUAAAGGGCGCGUAGGCGGCUGUCCAAGUCCGGGGUGAAAGCCCCCGGCUCAACCGGGGAAGUGCCUUGGAUACUGGGCAGCUCGAGGGAGGUAGGGGUCGAGGGAACUUCUGGUGGAGCGGUGAAAUGCGUUGAUAUCAUUUGGAACGCCAAUGGUGAAAACAGGUAGCUGGGAGUGUGCUGACACUGAGACACGAAAGCCAGGGGAGCAAACGGG